CCUACGGGAUGCUGCAGUGAGGAAUAUUGGUCAAUGGACGAGAGUCUGAACCAGCCAAGUAGCGUGAAGGAUGACUGCCCUAUGGGUUGUAAACUUCUUUUAUAUGGGAAUAAAAUGUUCCACGUGUGGGAUUUUGUAUGUACCAUAUGCAUAAGGAUCGGCUAACUCCGUGCCAGCAGCCGCGGUAAUACGGAGGAUCCGAGCGUUAUCCGGAUUUAUUGGGUUUAAAGGGAGCGUAGGUGGAUUGUUAAGUCAGUUGUGAAAGUGUGCGGCUCAACCGUAAAAUUGCAGUUGAAACUGGCAGUCUUGAGUACAGUAGAGGUGGGCGGAAUUCGUGGUGUAGCGGUGAAAUGCUUAGAUAUCACGAAGAACUCCGAUUGCGAAGGCAGUUCACUGGACUGCAACUGACACUGAGGCUCGAAAGUGUGGGUAUCAAACAGGAUUAGAUACCCUGGUAGUC
rnacentral:rRNA from 1 species